GACGAACGCUGGCGGCGUGCCUAAUACAUGCAAGUAGAACGCUAAAGAGAGGAGCUUGCUCUUCUUGGAUGAGUUGCGAACGGGUGAGUAACGCGUAGGUAACCUGCCUGGUAGCGGGGGAUAACUAUUGGAAACGACAGCUAAUACCGCAUAAAAUUGCUUAUCGCAUGAUAAUUAAUUGAAAGAUGCAAUUGCAUCACUACCAGAUGGACCUGCGUUGUAUUAGCUAGUUGGUGAGGUAACGGCUCACCAAGGCGACGAUACAUAGCCGACCUGAGAGGGUGAUCGGCCACACUGGGACUGAGACACGGCCCAGACUCCUACGGGAGGCAGCAGUAGGGAAUCUUCGGCAAUGGGGGGAACCCUGACCGAGCAACGCCGCGUGAGUGAAGAA
rnacentral:rRNA from 1 species